CAAAAAAAAACAAAAAAAAAGCAAAAACUGAAAAAGCGUUUUUUUUUCGUGCCAGAUUCAAUUUUUGUUCAUUCUUGUCUUUCCAAACUGUUGCCAAACCACACUUUUUCGUUUGCAUUUAUCUCUUUCGUUCU
rnacentral:ribozyme from 13 species